UACGUAGGGUGCGAGCGUUGUCCGGAAUUAUUGGGCGUAAAGGGCUCGUAGGCGGUCUGUUACGUCGGGAGUGAAAACUCAGGGCUCAACCCUGAGCCUGCUUCCGAUACGGGCAGACUAGAGGUAUGCAGGGGGAGAAUGGAAUUCCUGGUGUAGCGGUGAAAUGCGCAGAUAUCAGGAGGAACACCGGUGGCGAAGGCGGUUCUCUGGGCAUUACCUGACGCUGAGGAGCGAAAGUGUGGGGAGCGAACAGG
rnacentral:rRNA from 1 species